AACCCAUGGUGAGGGAACCUUCUCAAAAGGUCAUUGUAUCUCUCCCAUGCAUCGUAGAGUGUUUCUAAAUCCAUUUGCACAAAGGAAGAAAUGUCAUUCCUUAACUU
rfam:Gossypium hirsutum cultivar TM-1 chromosome 8, whole genome shotgun sequence